GAAGAAGAAGAAGAAGAAGAAGAAGAAGAAUAAGUAUAAGAAGCAGCGAUCGGCGGCGUCUCUCGAGGAUAAUAAUAGAAUAAUAAUGAUAAGUAUCGGUAUUAAUUAUAAUUAUGAUUGAACAGGGCUCCUCCUUAAGCAAGUGACAAGAGUAAUGCUGCCGUACGACAUUUUGGCUCUCAUCCGCCGGUGCCGCCUGGCCUGGCUCCUCCAUGAUCCAUCUCAAUUGCAUCAGUUUGCAUGCAGUUAUAAGUUAAUUUAGUUCUGAGACGUUAGUCGCCCCGCCUCCCCCCUCCCCCACGGUUUAUGCAGUUCCUUUGUUUGUUUCGAGUGGAGAGUUGUCCUAGUUUGUAUCGCCGGUGAACUGGAGAGAGAGAGAGGAGAGCAACCAAUCACCAAUGGUUGCUGCCUUAGGCACCUACCAAGGAGCAAGAAGCCCAGCCCACAAGAAAAGGUGCAAAGGACACCAUUAGCCCUGGAGAAAGACCACUGAGGAGGAUCAACACAAGGAAGAAGCUCUUUCGUACUCAAACAGAGUCCAAAAUUUUUGGAUGCAAUAUAGAUUGUUCUUUAUUUCUUCUGUGACCCAAAUCAACGUAGAAACUUCUUCCCCUUGAAAAUAUUAACUGUCACUCAACUCCAUAACCUGAUCAUGCAUGAGAAAUCCACCCGUUGACUAAGCACUGGCAUGGGUUCCAUUGGAAGUCUUUUUUUUGCAUACCACUGCAGUGCACUUUAUCAGCUGUUCUCUCAAUCUCUCCAAUGCGUUUGCUAUUCCUCCCUCCCAUCUCAAAACUAUGUUGUGUU